rnacentral:lncRNA from 1 species
UUUUAAAACACUUACACACACCUUCCCUCUCUCAUCUCCUUACCUCAACCCGUCGCCCAUCACUGCUUUCCACCUCAACGGUCACAGGUAAUUUCUCUUCCUUUUUUCUUGUCUUCUCUCUCCUAACUCUUCCCUCUUCAGUAUCUUAUUUAAAGCAAUGGAUUCCCAGCCCCAAAAUCCCCUAGGUUAAGUUGCAUUAAGUUUAAUAUAACAAAAUGUGAUUACAGAGGGAAAUUGAGGAAAAUUUGGGACUUGUGGGUGUUGUUUUUGUUAUUUGUGAUUGUUGUGAGAUGAUAAACUAAAUUUCCCUUCAUCUCGUUAAACUUUGGGGGAGAAAUUGAAUCGCUCAAUUUAUAGAACAACCUACGCAAAAUUUUUGCAUACAACAUGUUCGACGAAUUGCCUGUGAGAUAAAUUUAGGCGCCGGCGAAGUCUGAGUGUCACGACACAAAACCCAAUCCCGGUUGUAAUGGCACAUCUCGUGAAGACAAUGUCAGCUGACACACUUCCUAUUCACUUUAAAUAUUUAAAAUAAUAAAUACUAAGCCUUUAACAGAAAUAAAAUCCCAAAACAAGCAUUUAACAGUUUAACUUGCGGAAAUAAAAACUAAUACAAUCCGACAUAGGGAUGUCACCAAUCAUGAGCAUCUAAAGCAAUACUGAAAUCUAAUCCACUACUAUACAACUGAAUCAAAAGAACUAAGAUAGAGGGAGAAUGCACUGGGAUGCAAAUCGUCAAGCAGCUACCUAUUAAUUCUCCGGAGGCCUGCUGAAACUAUCAACCAUCAGGAGCAGGACAUGUAGCGCCCGAAUCUGCACGCAGGGUGCAGGAAAUAAAGUGAGUACUCUAACUCAGUGAGUAUUAAAAAUAAAUGAAUACUGAGUAACAUAAAACCACGUAAGUCACAAUAUUAAGCUAAUAGAGACAUAGCAAAAAUAGUAAUACAAUUAAGCAGUGAAAACUCAUAAACAUCCUUUAAACGGCUAACAAUAUACAAGAAAAACAACUAAAAAGUAAAUACAUAAUAACUGCACCCCCCUUUGCACAGUAACUAGAAUUAUCUCCUCGGGCUAUAUCACAUAUCACAAUGGGUACCUGCGCUCACUAGGGGGUAUUACAGACUCCGGGAGGGGCCCCUUACGCCCCAAGCGCAAUAUCAAGCCAUCUCGUAUCAUCAUAAACAGGCUUUCAGCCUCAUAUCAAUCACAAGCUACCUUUCGGUGUACAAUCUCAGGAUCUCAGCCUUAUUAUCAUAAUCAGUAUAUCGCUGUUGUGGCAUACUGCCCGAUCCAAAAGUAUCCUCAUAACACAGGCCAUCGGUCUUACUCAGUCAGAAUCUCAUAAGCCCCUCGGACCACAGUAAUUGAAGCUCAGCUCAAAAACCUUUGAAAAUAUCAACUAAUGUGUUUUAAACAGAAUAACAUAGCUGAGUUUCUAAAAUAGUAAAAUAUAGUAUGACUGAGCACAAGUAUGAAAUCAAACAGUGAGGAAAAAUAUCAUGUAAAUCUGUUAAGGGUUUAAACAGUUGACACGAAGCCCAUAUAUGAAAAUUAGCCAAAAUAUAAAUUGUCAAAUAGUCACACUGGAUAGACUAAGUCACAAUCCCCAACGGAGCAUGAUCCCAUGCUUGUCAUCUAGCGUGUGUCUCACCUCAACAUAGCCGAACACUGUGAAAUUCCGGGGUUUCAUACCCUCAGAACAACAUUUAAAAUCAUUAUUUGUAGACAUGAGAUUUUUGACCCUUCCCAAAUUUUUUAUAUUUUACCAUGUAAAUAUUUAAUUUAAGCCUAAUAUAACUAUUUUAACUAUUUUUAAAUUCUUUACUUUAUUUUCUUCAUAUAAAUAGAAAUUACAAAAAAUAUUUUAACUUAUAUAUCUUUCAUAAAAUUAAAUAAAAUAUAUAAAAAAUAGUACAUUAUUUUAAAUUUUUACAUAAUCUUGAAAAUACAAAAAAGAUAUAUAAUAGCUUCAUGUUAGAUUUUGCAUUGUAUAAUAUAUUUAUCUCAUUUUAAGAGAAGUCAAUUAAGGUGAUGGAUCACAAUUUUAAGAGUUUUAGAGUUCAAUUCUUAACUCAAUUCGGAAGCCUAGGAACCCUUCUAAACUUUCUUUGGAACAAAAACAAAUAAAACAGACCCUAAAGACUUAACACAAAAAAACCUAUGGACUAAUUUGCAAAAUAAACCUAAACCUAGAAUCUACCUAUAAAGUAAUGCUAAAAAUCUGAAAGAAGAGGGGAGAGGGGGGAAAGGAAAAGAAUGAAAAACAGAGAGGAGAAAAUCUGGGGAGGGACGGAACAGAUCUAAAAAAGGGGCUGGCCUGAUCUUCUUUCUUCAACAGAGGUGACCUUCUGCCAUCCAAAAACAACUGCUAGUUGUCAGAGAAAACGCCAUCCAAACUCCAUUUUUCUUCACCUUAGAUUCUCUGCUUGAAAAAAGAGAAAAUGUAAUUUGUUUAUUAGAAGCCAGAAUUCCGUCGUAAGAAUCGUGAAUUUGUCUUUAAGAAUUAAAAUAUUCUCUUGGUGGAUUUUGUUAAAUAUCCUAAAUUAAUUUUUGAGUUGUUUGGUUUUAUUUGGAGUUUUUGGUCAUUAAUUAGUUUGUUUUCUACGUCAAGCAGUUGAUUUGUUUGCGAUUAAUUUUUUGGAUUCAUUGUUAAGAGAGGAC